rnacentral:rRNA from 1 species
UGCGUAGGUGGCUUGGUAAGUUUGAUGUGAAAGCUCAGGGCUCAACCCUGAAAUGGCAUUGAAUACUACUGAGCUGGAGGUUUGGAGGGGGGACUGGAAUUCUCGGUGUAGCAGUGAAAUGCGUAGAUAUCGAGAGGAACACCAGUGGCGAAGGCGAGUCCCUGGACAACACCUGACACUGAGGCACGAAAGCUAGGGGAGCAAACA